rnacentral:tRNA from 1 species
AUUUACAUAGCUUAUAUGAGAGUAUAGUAUUGAAGCUGCUAGGGAAAUUUUUUUUGUAAAUA